CUAAUUUAUGGGCGAUUUUUUGGCUAAGAUUAAAUAUAGUAUUUAUUCUUAUCAGUUUAAUAUCUGAUAUAAAGAAUUAAAUUAUUUUUUUAUAAAAGAUAGUGUUAUCCGCACGUGCGUUCAUGUAUUAUAUUACACAUGCAAGCAGGGGUAAAGCCAUGUAUAGCUUUGGUGGGGCAGUUGCCCCAUCUCA